CUUGCAGUGCUCGGUUCCCUAUACAAGGGGAUCCCAGCACACCAUGGAACGCUUCCCAUCUGUGCUCCUUUCUAGAUUGGGAUCGUGACUUGCAUCAUUUGGAAAUGCUGGUAAACCAUGGUUUAAGGAUCUUGGAGCUUGGUGAAGCUGAAGUUGAUGAAGAUGAUGCUGUUGAUGAAGAUGAUCGGGAUUCCCAGCCCAUACCCAUUACUGAGCAUCUGGGAGAUGCUGAGGGUGUGUCUGCAGGGAGGACUUCUCCUGCUCCUUUGCUGAUCCCUACACAGAAGCCUGGCUCCCAUCGCAGGGGUCCCCUGAGAAUGGAGAACAAACUUAGAGGAGACACUAAGUCCUGGAGGCAUCCAAACACAUGGAGGAGAUGCCGAGUGAUCUGGAGAGACGCCGUGGUGGGUGCAUUUCCCUCAUGCUUCCCCUGGGACUCAGCA